UGUACCUGCAGGAAACAUU
rnacentral:snRNA from 1 species